GUCCCAAGGUUUCUGCCCCAUAGGAUCUCGAGAGGUGGUUCGAACUCAUAAUAUGCACAGGUCAAAAUGGAGCAACCUUACCACUGCACCAAGCCCCGCCCACAUAAAAUACAUUAACAAACAUACUAAAAUUACAAUACAAACUCAGGCAUGAAAACAUGAAAAUUAAAGUUUCCAAGCAAAUGGAAAGUCAUGCAGAUUCAUUGUAACCAACAAGGUUAAUAAAAAAAGAUUAAAGGAUUGGAAUUACCACACGGUAUGUCACAAGGAUAUAACCAUAACUGAUGGCCAGCAGACAAAACAAUGAGAAAUUCUUCCGAUUCGAAACUUGAUCUAAUAUAAAAAGGGAUAGGAGCUAUACAGGGAUUAGUCUAAUAGUUCUAAGAUUAUGUAAAAGCAUUUUCAGAAGAUCAUGUCAUUAUCUCAUGGCAACUGCAUAUGAUAUGAUUUGAAAGUUGUACUAAAAGAACCCAUCACUUUUGUCAAAUAAAAGAUUAAGCAACAUACACAGCACAUAAAAACCAAAACAAAAGUAGAGGUGUCACUGUCAUGAUGUAUAGAAAACAAGGAUGUAAAUGUCAGAAAAACACCAGAGCAUCCCAAAUUAAAUGAGAGCAGAAAUAAAAAUGAAAAAAACAAAUUAAAUUAAUUAGCCAAUCGCAACAAUUAGGAGAAAAGUUAUCCAAUGGUGAAGCAGGCAUUUCAGCUAACUUAAUAACAAGAGACAUAAAAGAAUUGCAGAAAAAUAUAGCACAAUAAGAUUCACACAAACUGGUAGUUCAUGUAAAAGAGCCCAUCUAUUUAUGGUCGGGAUUUUGUGAAGGAGAAAAUGUAAAUAUGCGACACAUUCUAGUAUUGAGCAAACAACUCCUGAUUUCUGACAAGCAAAAUACGAACUUUGAGAAUGUCGGUUCUCGAAGUCAAAAUCGUACCUUUAUUGAUACCAUCUUUAUCUCGAAACUAUCAUCAGCCUCCAAAUCAUAUGAAUUCUUCAGGAACAGCAGAAAAAACACAUCAGAAGAAAUUUAAUUACAGUUUUGUAAUUAAAGAAGCCUUAAAAAAAAUAUAAUCUUCAAAAAACAAGAAAUUAGAAGGCAAAAUGGGAAAAGGAAAAAGAGGCUCAAAUUCGUCACUUCCAGAUGUUCCCCGCCAAUUGCUAGAGAAGCUGACAUGCAAAGAAGAAAAGAGCAAUUUUACAAGUCACCCAUCAUCUCAUCAAUAUACAUACAUACACAC
rnacentral:lncRNA from 1 species